rnacentral:sRNA from 1 species
AUUUUAAGGUGAAGAUUGUUGAUAAUCCUUGUUAAUAAGUUUCUAGCUAAAAUGAUAGUAUAUAAGGGCUCUUCCUACAUGUAUUGUAGUUCCAGAAUGGUGUUUCAUGGAUUGCAGUGGUGACAUGAUGAAUGUGACCGCCUCAAUUGACUCAUGCUCACACAGUGGAUUUUAAAAUGCUCCGAGAAACCUAAAAGGCAGAAUCAAAUUGGAUAUCCCCAACCUUAUGGCCAGUGGGGCCAGUGGUAUGGAAAUGCACAACAAAUUGGCCAGUAUAUGCCUAAUGGUUGGCAAGUUCCUGCAUAUGGAAUGUAUGGCCAGGCAUGGAACCAGCAAGGAUUUAAUCAGACACAGUCUUCUGCACCAUGGAUGGGACCAAAUUAUGGAGUGCAACCGCCUCAAGGGCAAAAUGGCAGCAUGUUGCCCAAUCAGCCUUCUGGGUAUCGAGUGGCAGGGUAUGAAACCCAGUGAAAAAGGACUCCAGAAUCUAAAGCCAGUGGCUUGAGGCUACAGG